UACGUAGGGGGCUAGCGUUGUCCGGAAUCAUUGGGCGUAAAGAGCGUGUAGGCGGCUCGGUAAGUCCGUUGUGAAAGUCCAGGGCUCAACCCUGGAAUGCCAGUGGAAACUGUCGAGCUAGAGUCCGGAAGAGGCGAGUGGAAUUCCUGGUGUAGCGGUGAAAUGCGCAGAUAGUCAGGAGGAACACCAAUGGCGAAGGCAGCUCGCUGGGACGGUACUGACGCUGAGACGCGAAAGCGUGGGGGAGCAAACAGG
rnacentral:rRNA from 1 species